GUAUAAUGGCGGCGUUUUGGUGCCCGCGGUCGUGUCCACGACCGCAGUUAAACGGGAAACACGAAGCCCUUCAACAAGGCCAACGUGUGCUGCCCCCGCAACGGUAAGCAAGUGCCGCGCUCGAUGUUCGGGCUACGCGGCAAACCGUCUUCCAUGACCACUGUGCGAACGCAUGGGAAGGUCGGACGGCCACACUUGCCAGCCCGGAUACCGGCCAAAAGGUGGGAGCGUGC
rnacentral:ncRNA from 2 species